rnacentral:rRNA from 1 species
AUUGAACGCUGGCGGCAGGCUUCACACAUGAAAGUCGAGAGAGCGGAGGACGGGGGAGUAAUGUACGGGAAACUGCCUGAUGGAGGGGGCUAACUAAUGGAAAAGGUAGCUAAUACCGCACACACACAGAUGGGCCCAGAUGGGAUUAGAUAGUAUGUGGGGUAAUGGCUCACCUAGGCGACGAUCCCUAGCUGGUCUGAGAGGAUGAACCGCCCCACUGGACAUGAUACACGGUCCAGACUCCUACGGGAGGCAGCAGUGGGGAAUAUUGCUCAAUGGGCGCAAGCCUGAUUCAGCCAUGCCGCGUGUGUGAAGAAGGCCUUCGGGUUGUAAAGCACUUUCAGCUAGGAUUCGUUACUCGCAGAAGAAGCACCGGCUAACUCCGUGCCAGCAGCCGCGGUAAUAC